rnacentral:lncRNA from 1 species
CAGAAUCACUCCAGGGAGGUGUGAGUGAGAAGAAAGUUCAUGGCUUUAGCAGUUCAUGUCCGAUGAACUAUAGUUUUGUAGGUACAGAGCCAAGUGAACAUCGAAAUGCUCAUGAUGCGGCCUCUACAGUUAAUACUUCCGCGUUCAGUUUCUCGAGUAAUGGAAAGAGUGGAGAUGCGGCCUCUACAGUUAAUACUUCCGCGUUCAGUUUCUCGAGUAAUAGAAAGAGUGGUGGGACGAGUUUUAUGGAGUUCAAGACCCCUAAUUUGAAGCCAAACCCUUUUUCUAGCUUGGAUCA